UGUAUUCGAUUACCGGCUUUUUUGCCCUU
rnacentral:sRNA from 1 species